rnacentral:lncRNA from 1 species
CUAGAAUGGAUUACAAAAUUAAAACAAAGAAUAACCAAAUAUUUUUAAUAGAGCAUGAAACCCAAAAUGUGGUUGGCCCAAUGUAACUUGGCUGAAAUUAAAAGUUGUAAUGCUGUUUGUCGUACCUCCAAAAUUACUGCACUAAAAUUCUUCAAUUAGAAUUGUGCAGCCCAAGUAAUAGUGCAACACGGUUUUGGCCCAAAAUGCUUCACUACAGCCAAUUAAAUUCUGUUGUCACGUUUUGUUCCAAUUAAAUUUCUUGCGGUCCAAAAAUUCCUUCAAUUGUAAACUGCUCCAGCUUGUUUUAGGAAUAAAACUAAAUCAAAUUUCAUUGUACACCAAUUUCAUUCAUCAAAGGAUUUCAACAAAUCAUGGACCCCACCGUGUUUAUGACCGUGAACCACUGCCAAUUCAUCCAAAUCACCACAUUACUAUAUUAUCGGUUGGGCCCCACUGAUUGCAAGCCAUUUCAAUUUCUUGAUGCCUGCACUUCCAACGUUGAAUUAACUAUCUCAAAUGAAUUCACCAAUCAACAAAUCACUAACCCAAAACUUCAGACAUUGCACAAAGUUUUGCACGAAUAGCAAAAUCAGAAAUGGCACCAAAUCAUCGUGUUUACUGUUUAAUAUUUCCAAUAGUUGUCUGCAUUCAUUCAAUCUUGUUGCUCACGCUAAUACAAUUAAACAAACUAUACCACUUUAAUUUGCAGCACCAAAUUGAAAAUGAAAACUGCACCAGAAUUUUACACCAAAAAUCAGAAAUAUCAGUACCAAAAUCUACCGUGUUCUGUUUCAACAAAUCCAAGAUUGAUCAAAGCAUCAUAAAUUGUCUCUAAUUUGGUUAAUAUGCAGCACUGCAACUCCAAAUCAAUCUUCAAUUUCCAGCUAUUCAAUUGAAUUAGCACCGCUUGCUUCACAACUGUGAAUUUAUCCCAAUCCAAUCAACCAAGAAUCUUCCACCAAGAGCACCAAAGAUCAAAUGAAAUUCAGAGACACAGUUUCAAUUAGAAACUACAACAGCAAAACCAGAAAUACAAAGAAGCUUGAUUCCAAAUGAAUUGAGCCAAAACAAUUUAUCAUGCACUUUCUCUGCAGUUUAACCAAAAUACAAACUGCUUCAUACUUCACCACUAAUCAAUUACUAACACUGCCAGCUUCAAAUAAAAAUUGUUUCACACCCAGCUUCAAAUCACAGAUUCAAGUUGAUGAAAAAUCAGCUACCAAAAUCAGCACCAGAAUCUCCAAAAGAAAUCAGAAAAACUCAACCAGAGAAUGUGCCAAAUCAAAGAACAAAUCAUAAACUGUCUCUAUUUCAAGAAUUCGUUGUUCGUCGUUUUCUCGUGCACUCAACAAACAAAAAUUGACAAGAAAUUGUACCAUCAAUUUGUACUGUGAUAGAUUUUCCAGUGAAAAGCAAUGAACCCUUUCAAGUAAAAUUUCUUCGAUCCUAUUUCGUUCGUCACCGGAACGAUUCCGUGUUUGCACCGUUUCAACUUCUCCACCGUAGGAAAACCUGAUUUAGGUCACCGGGAAUCGCAACUGCCAUUCAACGGUUCAUAUCGCACCCAUGAAUCAAUUCAUUCUUCACUGCUUGAUUCUUCGAUUUUCGAUUCACCAAACCAACUGCCGUUUGCGAUUCCUCCGUUCACAAUUCCUCCGCGCGCGAUUCCGAUUUAGGUCAUCGGAAAUCACAAACCUCCGUUUGGCACCGUUAAUAUUCUUCAAUCAAUCUUCGCACACCGAUUCAAGAUGAAGCCGAAGAAGAAAAAUGAUGCAGAAGAUGAAGAACAACAAUGCAAAUCGCAGAGAAAUUUUCAAGAAUAAAGUCCGAGAAACCUAAACCAGAUCUGCUAUUCGUAC